rnacentral:rRNA from 1 species
AAACUAACAAGGAUUCCCCUAGUAACGGCGAGUGAAGCGGGAAGAGCUCAAAUUUGAAAUCUGGCAGCCUUCGGUUGUCCGAGUUGUAAUCUAUAGAGGCGUUUUCCGUGCCGGCUCAUGUACAGGUCCCUUGGAACAGGGCAUCAUAGAGGGUGAGAAUCCCGUACUUGACAUGAACCACCGGUGCUCUGUGAUACGCUCUCAACGAGUCGAGUUGCUUGGGAAUGCAGCUCAAAAUGGGUGGUGAAUUCCAUCUAAAGCUAAAUAUUGGCGAGAGACCGAUAGCGAACAAGUACCGUGAGGGAAAGAUGAAAAGCACUUUGGAAAGAGAGUUAAACAGUAUGUGAAAUUGUUGAAAGGGAAACGAUUGAAGUCAAUCAUGUUCUUGGACCUUUACGGGUCCUUGGAUAGGGUCAACAUCAGUUUUGUCCGUCGGAAAAGGGCUGGAGCAAGGUAGUACCCUCGGGUAAACUUAUAGGCUCCUGUCGCAUACGAUGGAGGAGACUGAGGCAUGCUUUUACAGGAUGUUGACAUAAUGGCUUUAAACGAC